rnacentral:lncRNA from 1 species
GGAAAGAAUGCUACUCACUAGGACUUCAGGCCCAACACAACAGCCCAGGGCUCCAGUCUACACGGGGCUCACCUGAAAGCUUCAGGGUACCAGGUGGUGCCGCUACGUUUGCUGAGACAGUCGUCAAGUCUUCUAAGCCCACCAACAAACUCAACAUUCAUAAAAUUUCCCACGAAAAGCAGAGAGUGUCGUCAAGUGUAUUGAAAGUUAACCAGCACUGAUACCAAAAAAAAAAAAAAAAAAAGAAAAAGAAAAGAAAAAAGGAAAAAAAAAAAAGGUACUGCUCUCAUUUCCUGCUCUCAAGCCUAAGUAGGGAGAGAUUGAGAAAGGGGGCUGUUUUAUUUAACGAAAUAAUUAGCACUUUGAGAGCUGACCCAGCUUUCAUGGCUGAAAGAAAAGCUUUGAUGGUGUGAGCAAAGGAAAAUUCUGCGAGUAUCUAAUUCUCUAAUGCACCGUGGUGACCACUGGAUAACUUAAUCUCUCUGCUCUAAUGAAGUCCCAGUACGAGAGGCCAGGUUUCUGGCCACUUGAUGACUAGCAAUUCAGAUUUAUUGGUAUCACCACUGAGUUCAUUGCAACCUCCCAACCCAAGCCCUAGAAUCAAGUUAUGGUGUUAUGAUCGGACAAUGUAUGGGAAAAGAAAACACAUUUUUAUUUUAUUUUAUUUAUUUAUUUAUUUAUUUAUUUAUUUAUUUAUUUAUUUAUUAAGAUUUUGUUUAUUUAUUCAUGAGAGACACAGAGAGAGCGAGAGGCCACGGGAGAAGCAGGCUCCAUGCAGGGAGCCCGACGUGGGACUCAAUCCUGGGUCUCCAGGAUCACACCCUCGGCUGAAGGCAGGCACUAACCCACCAGGCCACCCAGGGAUCCCCUUUAUUUUUUAAAGAUUUUAUUUAUUUACUUGAGGAAGACAGAGAGCAGAAGAGGUCAAGGGAGUGAGCACAAGCAGGAGGAGCAUCAGAGGGAGAGGGAAAAGCGGGCUCCCCACUGAGCAGGACCCGAGGAUCAUGAUCUGAGCUGAGGGCAGACCCCUAACUGACUGAGUCACCCAGACAAGAAAAUGCAUUUUUAAUGAGUGCUUUUCCGUCACAACUCUUUUUUUUUUUUUAAGAUUUUAUUUAUUUAUUCAUGAGAGACAGAGAGAGAGGCAGAGACACAGGCAGAGGGAGAAGCAGGCUCCAUGCAGGAGCCUGAUGUGGGACUUGAUCCCCAACCCUGGGAUCACGCCCUGAGUCAAAGGCAGACGCACAACCACUAAGCCACCCAGGCGUCCCCCGUCACAACUCUUUCUGAAGUCUCUGAUACAAACAUUUUAUGAGAAGAAGCAGACUCUUCCUCACAGGCAGUGGACUCUUCCAUCUAUAAUAUUAUGUGCCUCCUCAUUCUUCAACCUGUGCUUCCUCCUCCGUAUUUUCUACAGGCCCUUGGAAAAAUGAUCAAAUACUUAACUAAUGAUUCUAAAGCUCUUUGUCUUGGUUCUGUCAUUUUUAGGAAAAGUGGGCAAGAAAGGGGAGUCCAUAUUUGGGGUGAACCUACUACGUGUCAAACACAGAGUUGUGGAAUUUUUAAAAUAAUUCUUGAGGUAGUCGUUACUUGCACUUAUUCUACAAGGGAGGAGAUGGAGGCUCAGAGACACUUCGCAAAUAGUCCUACAGAUACGAUGCGACAAAAAUGGUGUUUGCAUCUUGCUGCGUGUAACUCCAAAGCUCAUGCUCUUCGUAAACUAAGGAAAAUACUGUUCCUGGAAUGUUUAUUAAUGUUAAUUACAGUUACACUUCUAUAAAAAAAAUAAUUUGAUUUAAUGACUAAUAUUUUCAAAGCACUGUGGCAUACAUCAUCCCAUUUCAAGACAGCAGGUAGACUGGGGCGGGGGGCGUUUAGAGGGGGAGUUGUGAGGAUUAGUAAUCAUGUGCAAUACAUAAUAUCAGCGUAAAACAAGUGCUUAGUAGCUAUGAUUUAUUAUCAUUAUUGUUAUUAUCAUUAUUAAUCCUCCCGGCUGGCUUUAGAAGUUGUAUAAGCACAACCAUUUCCGCUCCCUCUUGAUAGACUUUCUCCACCAAGACUAAGCCCUUUCAACAUGCUUCGCAAGCAAAAAUCAUGGUUCAAUUUUUAUUUACAAGGCAUGUACGUCCAGGAAUUUCAGAACCCCCGUAUUCAACUUCAGUUUGUUUGCAACGCUGGCAGGCAGGGGAUGGAAGGGAAGUAAGUGUGAGACAGGCUUACGAGCUUUGCCAGCCAAGUCAGAAUGGGAACUUACGCCUCCGGGUUCCAAACCUGAGUGGCCUUUUUCGUUGCACCUAAGGGAUACAGAAGGAUGUUCCUUCUUGCAGGCUUCACUAUCUCCUUCCUACAAGGGGUGGUGAAGAGCCCCCCUUUGGUUGCUCGCCUCCCCCAGGAGAGCCAGCCCCAGGCUGUGCGGAGCUUGCCUGCUUGUGGUGGGGAGGGCAGUUAUCACCAGGACUGGAGAGAGGGUUGGGGUUUGCCUCUUGGGUGCAUUCCUGCUCUGCGGAUAGUAGGCAGCGAAGUGCAAGAAGUGCUCGGUAUCAGUGACUCACAGCGAGACAGGAAAUCUCAGGCAGGUCCACCCUUCCUUCCUGCCCUCCCGACCAGCUGGGUUGCAGAACCACAGGCCGCAGCCAGCCUGGGGCCUCGGCGAGAAGGGCUGGGGAGGGCGGAGACCGGGCCCCGCAGUGGGUGCCCCUGAUGGAUCCCAGAGGUGGGGCCCUGGCACCCCCGCUGCAGGGAAGGCCUGCUCUCUCCACCCCCCAGGCUGCUGUUUCCUUUUUUUUUUUAAAUAAAGAUUUUAUUUAUUUACUGAUGAGAGACACAGAGAGAGAGAGAGAGUAAGAGGCAGACACAAGCAGAGGGAGAAGCAGGCCCCAUGCAGGGAGCCUGAGGUGGGACUCGAUCCCGGGUCUCCAGGAUCAGGCCCUGGGUGAAGGCCGGGCUGCCCAGGCUGCUGUUUGUUGGGAUGCCCGGCGUCUCCUUGUGCGCCCUUGCCUCUGUAUUGUUUUCAAAGAUAAAAAACAAGAGUUUGGCACGGUUCACCUGAGUGGGUUUCAUGUACCCCGUGUUUCAAAAGCUCGUGACAGGGGUUCCUGGGUGGCUCAGCCUCGGACUCUUGAUCUCCUCUCAGGUCAGGAUCUCAGGGUCCGGAUCCCAAGGUCACAGAGGUGGAGCCCCAGGCCCUGCUCCCCUUGCUCAGUGGGGAGUGUGUUUGAGAUCCUUUCUCUCCCUCUCCGGCCGCCCCUCCCCCUCUAAAAUAAAUCAACAAAUCUUUAAAAUAAAUGCAUAAAUACAUAAAGAAAUACCAUAAAUAAAGGCAGAAAGCGACAUUCAUCAUCGUUACAAGCAAUCUCCACGACGGCAAAAUAGCAGAAUGUGUCUCUCCAGCCAAAUCAAAUGUACACGCAUUUACGGUAGAUUUUUGAACCCCGUGUAAAAGUCUUGCAAUAAAGUCACACCGUGUCUCGCCUCACGAGGGCCACCAAUAAUCAUGAUGAGGAUUGGGACAGGCCAGCAGCUGACGCCCGGCACGGCUCUGAGCACCUGAUUCCUUUAGAGUCAUCUUAGGCUCACAACCACCCUUUGAGAUAAGCAUUUUCGUUAUUCCCGACUUACAGACGAGGUGACUGUCACAGUCGAUGAAAACCCCUCCCUGUCUCCCAAAA